UUUAAUCGAAGCCUUUUAUUUUUUCCUUUUUUCCUUCACUCAUUUCACCCACAUCCUGACUUUCACUCUCCCUCUCUCUGCAUUACUCUCAACUCAUCAUCUCUCGCCCUCAUAUGCUCACAGUUUCAAUGAUCGCAUCUUUUCGUCUAUUUUUCCUUCACGGAUCCAUAAAGAAAUAGAGAGAUCUUAUUCAUUUCCCACAAAUCUUAUUUAUUUGUUGUUUAUUUUUUUAUUUUGCUAUUCGCAUGAUCUGGGUUGAUUUUCGCCUCUAUUUGUCUAUAUGGUUAUUUAUUUAUUUUUUUUGUUCCUAUAGAUAUGAAUGAAUAGAUCUUGAAGCGAUUUGGGUGUUUUUGGUUUUUGUAUGCUCUAGGUUGAUCUUCUUCUCUCUAUGGCUAUUUUUCCAUCACGGAUCCGUAGGGAAAUGGAGAGACCGUCAUUUCCCACAGACCUUCUUCAUUUGUUUAUGUUUUUUGUUUUUUAAUUUUGUCGUUCAGAUGCUCACAGUUGAUCUUUGCCUCUCAUUGUCUAUAUUGUUCUUUAUAUUUUUUUUAUUUUUUUCUAUAGAUCUAAACAUCUCUUCAUAGAUUUGAAGAGAUCUUGUUCAGAUCUGGUUAUUUUUUUUUUAUUUUGCAGUUCGCUUAUGAAUAGCUGAACAGAUCUUCACAGAGUUGAAGAGAUCUUGUUCACAUCUGAGUUUCUUUUUUUAUCUUUUUUAUUUUGCUGUUGUUCUUUAUGGUUUUUUUCUGCAAAUUUUAGUACAUAACGUCGAUAUAUUUUUUUAAAAUAUUUUUUUUUGUCUUUGGGUUUUUUUUUUUUUCACAUUUUCUGCUCGAUCGACUGCAUGUUUUUUUGGUUCUCAUUUCAUUUUUUUUAAAGUAGAUGCUUAUUUUUGGUCGCUUGAUGGCUUUUCUUUUUACCAUGAAGCCCUUUGUUAAUGGUGGAACAUCUUGUAUGCUCACUACAUGCGUCAUCCAACCCAUUGAUAUGAUCAAGGUGAGGAUUCAAUUGGGUUAGGAAUCAGCAGCCCAAGUGGCGACGAUCAUGCUUAAGGAGGAGGGCUUUGGUGUCUUUUACAAGCUUCUAUUCCAAUGCAAUAGCUGGCACACGUAUAGAAGGGAAAAAAUAAGAAGAAAUGGGACUGUAGUCUUUCAAAGUUGUAACUUAUUAUAAUGUUUUGUCAUUAUAAUUUAUAGGAAAAUAAAAUAGUAUCCCUGCCUAAUUAAUUUGGCACUAUUUUUCUUCAAAAAUUUGAGUUAUUAUAUUAAUGGAAUUCAAACAGACAACACAUUUGGUCACUGGGAUAUAAUUAUAAUUUGGCACUGUUUUCCUUCAA